rnacentral:rRNA from 1 species
GGUAGUCCACGCCCUAAACGAUGUCUACUAGUUGUCGGGUUUUAAUUAACUUGGUAACGCAGCUAACGCGUGAAGUAGACCGCCUGGGGAGUACGGUCGCAAGAUUAAAACUCAAAGGAAUUGACGGGGACCCGCACAAGCGGUGGAUGAUGUGGAUUAAUUCGAUGCAACGCGAAAAACCUUACCUACCCUUGACAUGGCAGAAAUCCUCGAGAGAUUGAGGAGUGCUCGAAAGAGAAUCUGCACACAGGUGCUGCAUGGCUGUCGUCAGCUCGUGUCGUGAGAUGUUGGGUUAAGUCCCGCAACGAGCGCAACCCUUGUCAUUAGUUGCUACGAAAGAGCACUCUAAUGAGACUGCCGGUGACAAACCGGAGGAAGGUGGGGAUGACGUCAAGUCCUCAUGGCCCUUAUGGGUAGGGCUUCACACGUCAUACAAUGGUACAUACAGAGGGCCGCCAACCCGCGAGGGGGAGCUAAUCCCAGAAAGUGUAUCGUAGUCCGGAUUGUAGUCUGCAACUCGACUGCAUGAAGUUGGAAUCGCUAGUAAUCGCGGAUCAGCAUGUCGCGGUGAAUACGUUCCCGGGUCUUGUACACACCGCCCGUCACACCAUGGGAGCGGGUUUUACCAGAAGUAGGUAGCUUAACCGCAAGGAGGGCGCUUACCACGGUAGGAUUCGUGACUGGGGUGAAGUCGUAACAAGGUAGCCGUAUCGGAAGGUGC